GAGGAUGAAGAUUUCAUAUUUGUCGCCCCAGUCUUAGGAUCGAUCUCUGCUGAUUGACAUACUUCUGAAGC
rnacentral:snoRNA from 1 species